rnacentral:rRNA from 1 species
CCUACGGGAGGCAGCAGUGGGGAAUUUUGGACAAUGGGCGAAAGCCUGAUCCAGCCAUACCGCGUGCGGGAAGAAGGCCUUCGGGUUGUAAACCGCUUUUGUCAGGGAAGAAAUGCUUCGGGCUAAUACCCUGGGGUGAUGACGGUACCUGAAGAAUAAGCACCGGCUAACUACGUGCCAGCAGCCGCGGUAAUACGUAGGGUGCAAGCGUUAAUCGGAAUUACUGGGCGUAAAGCGUGCGCAGGCGGUUCUAUAAGACAGAUGUGAAAUCCCCGGGCUCAACCUGGGAACUGCAUUUGUGACUGUAGAGCUAGAGUACGGUAGAGGGGGAUGGAAUUCCGCGUGUAGCAGUGAAAUGCGUAGAUAUGCGGAGGAACACCGAUGGCGAAGGCAAUCCCCUGGACCUGUACUGACGCUCAUGCACGAAAGCGUGGGGAGCAAACAGGAUUAGAUACCCUGGUAGUCCACGCCCUAAACGAUGUCAACUGGUUGUUGGGAGGGUUUCUUCUCAGUAACGAAGCUAACGCGUGAAGUUGACCGCCUGGGGAGUACGGCCGCAAGGUUGAAACUUAAAGGAAUUGACGGNUGAGACGNGCGACGACGACGACGAGGGAGGAGG